AUGAACGCUGGCGGCGUGCCUAAUACAUGCAAGUCGAGCGAACGGACGAGAAGCUUGCUUCUCUGAUGUUAGCGGCGGACGGGUGAGUAACACGUGGAUAACCUACCUAUAAGACUGGGAUAACUUCGGGAAACCGGAGCUAAUACCGGAUAAUAUUUUGAACCGCAUGGUUCAAAAGUGAAAGACGGUCUUGCUGUCACUUAUAGAUGGAUCCGCGCUGCAUUAGCUAGUUGGUAAGGUAACGGCUUACCAAGGCAACGAUGCAUAGCCGACCUGAGAGGGUGAUCGGCCACACUGGAACUGAGACACGGUCCAGACUCCUACGGGAGGCAGCAGUAGGGAAUCUUCCGCAAUGGGCGAAAGACUGACGGAGCAACGCCGCGUGAGUGAUGAAGGUCUUCGGAUCGUAAAACUCUGUUAUUAGGGAAGAACAUAUGUGUAAGUAACUGUGCACAUCUUGACGGUACCUAAUCAGAAAGCCACGGCUAACUACGUG
rnacentral:rRNA from 1 species